CCCCCCCCCCGCCACCCCUCUCUCUGGCUCUCUGGCGGGUCGGCAUAGACAAAGACUGAAAGACACAGAAAAUGCCUCUCUCCAGCACUCUUUUCCCGGGAAAUAAGAGACCUCUCCUCCUCUGUGAGUGGCACCCUCUAAAUGUGACCCACCAGAAUCUGGGACGUUGUGUGUCCACACCUCCGCAGAGUGCCUUUCUGGUGAAGGACGGAGGGACAUGCGCCUUUCUUUCGGCCAGCGGAACACAGCCUAAGGGACGGAUGUCUCUCCCGGGAUCAUGUGACAUCGCACAAGACGAAGUCUUGGCCGCUCUGUGGAGAGAGGGAGAGAGGGAUGCACUUUGCUGGCUCGAGGAAUUCUGUGACCAUCGCUCAGAAGCCCGGACGCCAAGGAGCCGAGGAUGGCACCCAGUCAAAAGGCAUCACCGAUGCACGCCUCCACGGCCGCAGAGAGGAGGGCCCGAAUCCUGCCAACCGCAUGCCUGCAAGCUUCCUGCUCUCCCCUAGCCUCCAGGGGAGAGUGCACACCAGCCCAGCCGUUCAUUCCAGCCAAGAGGCAAAGACCCAGCUAAACCGUCCUGUCCGCAGUCCUGACCCAAAAGAGACGGCAGAAAGGGAACGAGUGUCCUUUCAAUCCGGCAAAAGCACGAUGGUGGCAGCUCGUCACGCAGCAAUACACAUCAGCCUGCCCGAACCUUACAAGAAAGCUGUCUGUUUCAGGCCUGGCUCUGGGGGGGAAGUGUCGCACGUGCACUUGAGAAGAUGUUGAAUGUUGCUGUCGUUGCUCUGGGUUUUCUUCCUCUUUUCAGUGACGCGUCGGGGGUGCUGGCUCAUGACACCGCAUACAUUUGGCCUGAUCGGUGAGGACCUUGGAUCGAUGUCUCUCGUCUCCGUGUUUCCAAGUGUACCAAGUUUCUGUAGGUGUCGUGUGAUGCUGUAGGAGGCCACUGGGAAGUAGGUCUCUAUGAAGACCUAUCUCCUUGGACCACGAACAGGCCAGAGGUCCACUGCUUUGGGCCACGUCUGACUCAAGGUCUUCAAGAAAGUGCGGAUCCUCAGGGUCAGUGAAGAAAUCAGCCACCGGAGGGGAGGCGGCAAAGGGCUCAUGUCCACUAGCUGAUAUGGAAGUGUUUUUGUGUGGAAGCGCGGUGACGUGUCAGUGUCCCCUGCCUCGGACCUACUUCAGGUUCACCGGCACAGGAUGAGAAAACCCAACCCAGCAUCACUGGACACAGACAUGCAAACACAGAGACGGAUACGGGCACGCGGACAGGACGUUCAGACGCGCAGGGACAGAAUAAGGUAGCCGACGGAGCGGGUUAUGGUCAAAGUCAGAGAAAGAGAAACACAGACUCGGGCGUGCCAAGGGACAGGGACGUGGGCAAAUAGGCACCCGGGAUCUCCCAGAAUCUCCCAGAAUAAAAGGAGAAGAAGAGCAAGGCCCUGGCUCCAUCCAACCGAGGAGCCGGCAGGCUCGUGAAUCCGUGAGGUGACUGUGUGGGAAAAGAAGGAGCCACUCGGCGGCCCAGGGGCCCUCCCGCUAAGGGAAGAUGAGGUUAGGGACGUG
rnacentral:lncRNA from 1 species